UACGUAGGGUGCAAGCGUUGUCCGGAAUUAUUGGGCGUAAAGAGCUCGUAGGCGGUUUGUCGCGUCUGCUGUGAAAACCCGAGGCUCAACCUCGGGCCUGCAGUGGGUACGGGCAGACUAGAGUGCGGUAGGGGAGAUUGGAAUUCCUGGUGUAGCGGUGAAAUGCGCAGAUAUCAGGAGGAACACCGGUGGCGAAGGCGGUUCUCUGGGCCUUACCUGACACUGAGGAGCGAAAGCGUGGGGAGCGAACAGG
rnacentral:rRNA from 1 species